ensembl:lncRNA
GUUUUCCAUAGUGGCUGCACCAGUUUGCACUCCCACCAGCAGUGUAUGAGAGUUCCCUUCUCUCCACAUCCUCGCCAGCCCUUGUUAUCUCCUGUCUUUUUGAUGACAGCCUUUCUCACAGAAGUUGGCCUUUGCACCCUAGACGUAUGUUUUUGAAACAUCUGCGUGUGUCUGGGUUCCGGAUGUGAAAAAGUUCUCCCGUCCGAUGGUUUUCAGUAUAUGCCUGCUAACACUAUGCUAUACUACACUGAAAGGGAGCGUAUUUUGAUCAGUUCUGUCACCCACCUGCUAUGCCCGUGCCUGGAGCUGCCACAGGCCGCAGGGGAUCAUCAGAUUUGAGGAGCAGGAUCGCGACGACUCCGCUGUCUGGUCAUCUCAGAGCGCUGGGCCUCGUUCUUCUCUGAAAAGUGGGAGAAGGACCUAAGAAUAUGUUUGAAAGACAAGGCUACCACCUUCCCUUCAGUCCCCACCUCCCACUUACACAUACGCGCCGUGAAUACAACAGCACCAAGAGCUGCCCAAUCAGAGCACAUGGACUAGUUGAUCUGGAUUCCAGUAACUGGCAGACUUUUCACGGAGAGAGUGGCUUCUAACUUGGGCCUUGAAGCUUGGAUUUGGAGGAGCAAAGAGGGGCAGCAGGAAUCUUUAAAUUGGAGGAACAUCAUCAGCUAUAAAUCUGGAGACACAAAUAUGCAGGGUAUUAUAUGAGACCGAACAGAAUAAAAGUGACCAAGGCUCACGACUGAGAGAAGUGGGGUCAAAGGCAUGACAGAGCUUAAACCCUGGAAGCUAAGUUGAGAGGUUAGAAGGAGAUCCACUGAGAAAGAUGGUGGAGCACUUAGGGAAUACGUUCUAUGUUUUUCAGGCUUUGGACCCUCAAAUCUGGACUCAAAUAUAGGAUUAAUCUGGUAAACCACAAAAUCAAGACUACUUCAUGCUAAAUCAUGACUUUAUUCCCAGGAUUCCCUUGGGGUCUCUCCCGGUUUUGAGAAUCAGCACACUCAUACCCCACUCGACCAUCCCCUCGGCCUCCAUGGCUCCUCCAUUUACAUGGCCCCUGGCACAACACUACUUUACCAACAGUGAUUGGGGCACAGUUGUGCAAAACAGAAUUGAGUUCUGCUGCAUCUGAAAAAGUAGAGUGAGCUGGAGCAUGGUCUCGGUUGUGUUCUCUAAGGCUGAGCAGAGUCAGGCUGUACAACAGAGCUUCUUACAGUCACAAUCCAUUAUCUUUUCUGUAAAGCAGGGACGGUGAUGCCUCGGUGUUCCUAUUACUAGGUGUGGGGGCUGUAUGAGUUUCCUAGGAUUUCCAUGACAAGGUACCACAUCCAUGUGGCUUAAAACAACAGGAAAAUAUUGUUUCAUGGUUCUGGAGGCUGCAAGUCUGAAACCAAGUUAUUGAGUGGGCCCUGCUCUUGCUGAGAUCUUCCAGGGAGAGCCCUUCCUUGACUCUUCUAACUUCUGUGUUUGCAGACAUUCCUUGGUGUCCCUUGGCUUGUAGAUACAUCACUCCAACCUGCCUCCAUUGUCACAUGGCUGUUUUCUUUCUGUGUGUACCUGUCUUUGUGUCUCUUCUCCUCUCUUAGAAGGACGUAUUUCCUACUGGAUUAAGGGCCCACCCUCCUCCAGUAUGACUUCACCAUAAUUUGAUUAUAUCUCCCAAGACCCUAUUUCCACAAAAGGUCACAUUAACAGGCUCCAGGGACUUCAACACAGCUUUUUUGCAGGACACAGUCCAACUCAUAACAGAGACCACUAUCUGAGACAGAAGAAUGAGUCCUUCACAGGUUGGGAGAAACACAGCCUGCUUCCGCCGGAGCAGAGGGGUCCUGGAAGUGCCCUGUGCUGCCUGAAAACUUCUGAGCUGCAAUGCUAUGCUUCCACGCUAUUUCUACUGCUCAAGAUUGAGUUUCAACAAUAUAUUGCUAGAAUAAAAAACGUACAAGUCUAUACGAAGAUAUUAAUUUGUGCAAGUUUUGUAUUCAUUGUCAUAUUUGAUUCUCACAACAGAGCUGUAAACCACAAAUUAUUAUUGUUGACAGUUUAAAUAGAACUUGUCUUCCACACCAUAAUCUGAAAUAUUGAAAAACGAAAAUUCCAGGCAGAUCUGUAUAUGAUUGCCUUAUAGUCUGAAUUAUUGGCCUCGAAGAAUAUCAUCAAGUUUAAUAACACCGACUGGCUCACGCACUUGUCAAUCGACUCUUCAGUGGGUCCUCCCCAUGGAUGGGCUUGCGCCUUUCAUGGCUCCUGCCAAAAAAGAAAAGAGAGGAGCUGAGCAGAGCAGAUCCAGGUUACUCUCCAGAAAUUUAUCAUUCCGACAAAAUCAUUCCAGUUUUUCUGGAGGAGAACAAGUAAAGGAGCAGAAAAAAGCCAGAACUGUUACCUAACUGUGUGCCUUUCGCCUGCAAGGAAAGAUCAAACACAGCAAGGAAACAUUUGCCCCCAAGAUUUAUUGCCCACUCUUUAUUCAGAUAAGAAAAACGAGGUUCAAUGAGAUAAGGUGCUUGACUUAAGGUUUUCUGGUGAUUUUUAAUUCCAAGCCUCUUUCCAUGGCAUCACAGUCAUCUUCUCUUCGUAAUAAGCAUACUUCUUAAACAUAAUCCGUCUCUUCAUUUUACACUGUGGUAUGGAUUGAAUCAGUUUGUUACACCAGCAAAACCUGCUGUCUUGUAUCCCACAUGAUAUAAUUAAUUCUUGGAAAUGAAGUUUUGCCAUAUUUUCCCAGUCAAAAUGUAUCAGGUUGGCAUUUUGAACUGCAUGUGAACCCUUUAGUGUUAAAAAUAACAGACUCUUGGGAAAAUAAAUUCUUUCUGUUAUCUUAAGAACAAAAGUUGAACUUUCUCAAAAGAAGUUAAGGGUGUUGAGUUACUCCUUGGGAGCAGGAGUUAAUAAGGAUGCUCUUAAAAUGACAGCCACCUAGUCUGACAUCUGAAAAGUCAACCCGUAAACAUCCGCUCUCCAGGACUAACACUGCCCCGAUUCUCUCUUUGUUUACUUUACGAGAUCACAAAUUGUAAAAAUUGUAGUUGUUUUUUGUCUAUAUCUUCCAUUAGAAUGUAAGCUCAAUUAGGAAUCACGUUUGUCUUGUUCACCCUCCUUUCCAAGCAUAAUUUCUAACAAAUAAACAAAUAAAAUUAGCUGAAGAAAUAC